rnacentral:rRNA from 1 species
AAAGCGCACGCAGGCGGUUUGUUAAGUCAGAUGUGAAAUCCCCGGGCUCAACCUGGGAACUGCAUCUGAUACUGGCAAGCUUGAGUCUCGUAGAGGGGGGUAGAAUUCCAGGUGUAGCGGUGAAAUGCGUAGAGAUCUGGAGGAAUAUCGGUGGCGAAGGCGGCCCCCUGGACGAAGACUGACGCUCAGGUGCGAAAGCGUGGGGAGCAAACAGGAUUAGAUACCCUGGUAGUCCACGCCGUAAACGAUGUCGACUUGGAGGUUGUGCCCUUGAGGCGUGGCUUCCGGAGCUAACGCGUUAAGUCGACCGCCUGGGGAGUACGGCCGCAAGGUUAAAACUCAAAUGAAUUGACGGGGGCCCGCACAAGCGGUGGAGCAUGUGGUUUAAUUCGAUGCAACGCGAAGAACCUUACCUGGUCUUGACAUCCACGGAAGUUUUCAGAGAUGAGAAUGUGCCUUCGGGAACCGUGAGACAGGUGCUGCAUGGCUGUCGUCAGCUCGUGUUGUGAAAUGUUGGGUUAAGUCCCGCAACGAGCGCAACCCUUAUCCUUUGUUGCCAGCGGUC